GCCUAUUGUUGUGGAGUUUCUGCAACCAGAAAUAAGUGCUUUGCCUCUUUUCUGGAUAGCACAGAUAUUUAGUAGUUUACUGAGGCAGUCCCUCUCAUGAAACCCAGAACCCACACACUGGCUGGCUCCUGGGAUCUCCUGUCUCCAGUGCCUGGUUAACAGGUGGGUCACCAUACUGUCCUUUACCACAUGUGGGUGAUGGGAUCUGAACUUUGGGUCUCAUGCUUACGUAGUAAGGUACUUUAUCUCCUGAGUCAUCUCUUUAGCUCCAGAAGUGUUUUUUGUAAAAAUAGUUUUGAAAUGUAUUGAAUGCAUAAAACCACAAAAAAUUACCCAUAUGGAUGCUUACAUACAGGAGUACAUUAUGUAAAGUUUAAAUCAAGUUAAACCUACCAUCUCCCCAAACAUGUAGUAUUUCUUUUGGUGAAGAAUUCUAACAAUUACAACUUUCAAUUUUUUUCUCCUUGCCUUCUGAAAUGUAUAGUAUGUUGUUCCCAUUGUCAACAAAGACCUCUAGUGUCACCCAUACCUUCUUCUGCCUGUCUCACCAUCCUCUGGUGCCAGAGGUCCCACUUUCGCCAUCCAUCUUGCUGACAUCGAUUUUGAAUUUGAACCUCAAGUUUCUUGAAUCAGCUAAUGUGACUACCCCUAACCUGCCCUCAGGGUAUACAUCCAGGAGGAAAUGUUCUGAGUCCCAUAUAAACCUAGCAUACCAUUUAAUCCCUAAGUGCCAUUCUGUCUGAAGCAGAAGGCAAGGAUUCUCUCAAUAGAGACCUACCAUUUUCCCUAAAUAGAGAAAGGAGGGUUAGCAGUUGCAGUUUAUGAGAUGUAACUAUGUGUGCAAUUGUACUGGCCACAGGGAGAAUUUUAGGACUGGGCUCCAUCAUUCUUUACAUUUGCUGGGCAAGUGGGAACCUCUCCUCUCAGAGCUCCAUUCAAGUAUUACAAUGGGAGAGCGUGUUUGUGUGUGCAUGUGUGUAUGUGUGCACAAAUGCACUGUAUGUUUGUAUUCAUGUACAUGUAUGUGUGUGCUGGUGCAUGUGCACGAGGAGGGCAGUGGCCAAGGCUGUAGCUCAAUGAUUCAAUAAGACUAUCUGGCCAGUGAGCUCUAGUAAGUCUCUGGGCUCUGCCUUGCCAGUACUAGGAGCCCAGGCAUGUACUGCCCCAUCAGGCAUUUUACCUGGACUCUGGGGACCAGAACUCAGGCCCUCACACUGAGCCCUUUAUCACCGAACCAUCUUCCCAGUCUCCAAUUGGUUUUGUAUGUAGUCUAUUGUAAAUAUGCAAAUAAUUGCUUUUUAAUUUUAUUUUUCAAAGCUAGGUUCUUGACUUUGUUGGAGGGAAACUAUGGAGUCGAGUACUUUCCUUUUCAGUUCUUUUUGUGGGAUCAUUUGAAAUAUCACAUCAUCAAGUAGGAUUAUCAUGAAUGUUAAAUGAUACAGUUCCCAGCUUUGGCAGAAGGGAGAGCGUUCCAUUGUAUUUAGCCAUUUCAGGAAUUUUAGCCUUACAAGAAAAUGUAGCUUUUUCUUUCCUAGCUGGAUUUUGUUUCACCUAGGAGACAGAAAGCCUUGUGAGCCAUCUCAGGAAUCACCCUGGCUUCAUCCUCUUGCCCAGACUGGCCCCUCCCUCCUCCAUUCCUCAGUUCCAACCCCCACCCCCAGCCACAGUUAGCUUGUACUGUGUGCAAGUGCUUAUGCAGGUGAGCGGUGCCCUGGUGCCCUCUGGGUCUCAAGCCUUGGUGGGAAGACAGAUGGGAAUUACGUGCAGUGAGAAAUCAUGCCAGAGCAGAAGUCCACCUCAGUCAGCAGGGUGCAGGGCCAGAGGAAGGAGUGAUUAAUUCUGCCAAGAGUUUGCUCUUCUGCUCUGGCGAACCCUCUAGAUUCCGAGGAGAUAUCUGUGUUGUGUUAACAGGCCUAUCAGGCACUAGGAAAGAAUGGAAGUAUGUUUUGUGCCCAAGAAGGGUGUUGGUUGAAGCAAACACUAACCUGCACGAAUCCACCAAGACCCUUUCAAAUGUUUAAGAGAAAGCUAUUGAGUAAAGUUUUUUAAAAGUUUUUAACAAAUGCAUUUAAAUGACAAAUCAAAGUUGGUAAACCCAACAGACAGUGUCCUUGAGGGGAGUGAUUAUGUCACAUACUGGGAAUGCUGUACAGGAGAUGGCAUUCCCAGGAGCUAUUUCUGCAAUACCAGGGGGGUCCAUUAACCUUGGCAGAAGUCUCUCAUUCCCCCAAAUGAGAACCUUUUGAGUUCACUAUAGAUUAUCCUGUAGUGCAGUGUGGGUUUUAAAUUUAGCAAAGCUGGAGCCUGCAGAAAACCAAAUCAAGAAGAUGGGAGAGAGAAGAUUUGGGUUUGAGCCAAUAAACGUAUUCAUUUAGGGCAGAGGGUUGGUUUGAGCCUGUCAGGCCUCACAUGCCUUUCAGAAGAACGGUUGGCCAUUUUCAGUUUUUAGAAAAUAUUUUCACAUAUUUAUUUUAUUGCUAUGUGGAAUGAUUGAAACAUGGUGAGCACCAGAUCUCCAUUCUCCCUCCCCCACCCCCGCCAGAGCUGCCCCAUUCCCCUGGUGUUACCCCUCCCCUGAUACUGUCCCACCCUUCCCUGGUCAUUACCUACCUUCUUCUGGUUCUAGGACUUUCCCCUGCUGCUAUUCCCCUCCCCUGCCUGGGACUCACCUCUCCCCCUGGGACUCACCCCGCCCCCAUCUUGCCCCCUUUCUCGUUCUGUCCCUCUAGUUCUAUUUCCCUUCCCAGUGAUGCUCUGAGUGGUCCCACAGUUUGGGUACCUGAACCAGUUCUUCACAGCUGGGAUGCUGACCAAGAGAGCAGGGAGGCCUUUGUUGAGUGCCCUAUCUACAGUGGUCACCAAAAGGCACCUUAUCGAGUGGGUGCUCAUGAAAGCCCCUUGUUUUUUGAUUGUAGAAUGUUUUUCCAGUUAACCGAGUUUAUUAUCAAGACAAUUUCAUAGGGUUUUCAUUUCCUUGAUUGUUAAAUAGUUUGUGACAUUGGGUUUUUUUUAAAUAUAUAAAUAAAAAAUGUAAGCUGUCUAUUUAUCUGUUUACUUCUUUAAAGUACAAUAGAAAGACUGUACUUGUCAAAAUGCUGAGAACGAAGGAGAUUUUGAUACAAAAUAGAAUUUCUAGUUUUUGUUUUUGAGUUUUUAUUCACUCAAAAAGACAAAAAGUUAUCUCUUUAUUUUUUGUUAUGUUUUAUUUAUUUAUUAUUGAAAAUAGAUCUUCUUUCAUACAGUAUAUUCUGAUUACAGUUUCCCCUCCCCAUCUCCCCCAGAUUCUCUCCACCUCCCCACCCUCCCAAAUCCACCCCCAUUUUUUUCUCUUUAGAAAACAAAUAGGCAUCUAAAUAAUAGUAAUAACAGUAGGCAUUUUAGUCAGUGUGUUAGUGACACCUCAGUUACUUCUGGUCUGUCAGAGAGAUACUGCAUGCCCCAUUUAUUCUUGUGCAGUCACUAUUUUCUCAGGACAUAAAGUUUGUAAGAAAGAAAUUAUGUGGACUAAAAGAAUUUAGGACUUUUAGGGGAAAUCUCAAGCUAACUUGUCGAGCUUCCUUCCAGAGAGGUUAACAAGCCCAGAUUUCUAAUGAUUGGCUCCGGAGUGCAGGUCCCCUGAUUCUGAACGUGGUGUUCUUUGAGGGACUGUUAAGCCAAAUACCUCCAAGGUCUCCUCUCUGAAGCCCUCACAUUUGUGAGUACUUACUGCAGACUCAACGGGAUAAUGAAGUGCUCUGGUGGAAGAUCCCUCAGAGGUUAACUUUACGUGGAAUGUUACGGGCCUUGUACUCUAAGGUGCAGCCAAUAACAAGAGAAAAAGCGAGCUGGCUCUCUGCCUUCCAUGCAAAGGUUAUUUUUCUUAUUACAACAAAACUAAUUAGUGGGUUUUAUAAUGUAAGAAACUGUUGCUGUUAGUAAAGUUUCCUCAGCGCCAGGAAGCAGAUGGCGGCGGUGAACAGUGUUUUCUUUUGCCAGGGUUUGUAUAUGCUUCGAAACCUGCAAGAGAUUUUGCCUUUCUGGAUUCAUAUUUCUGAUCUUUCUUAUUUUAAAACAGAAAUAGAAACUUAUAUUUAAACGUGCUUCCAUCAUGUGGUCUGUUUGACAUAUCGUGGUUGCUUGAAAAUGUUGAAUAACAUUUGAUGUUCCUCAUGAAUUUCUCUUCACCAGUGUUUUCUGCUUCUUCUCCUUGGGGAAGGCAAGACUCUGCCCUCAGAGCACCACAACAGGGACUUAGAGUUGGUUGGGAAAAGCAGCCCAUGAGAUCUUUUUGUUUUGUUCCCAAUUUCUACAUAAAUCCCAACUUUUCUCAGAGAGGUUUCUUAGAGCCUGCCUAUCUUCAUUGUGACAUCAGUGUGAAUAAUUUACUCUGCUAUCUGCUAGUGAGACAUGAGUCUCUGUUAACUUAAGUGUCUUUCUGGUCAUUGUUUAAACUGUGUGAGACAGCUGAAGCACAUCACUACAAUAUCAACACAGCAGUGGCGUUAAUAACAGGACGUGGGCUGAUUUUAAGAGCAGUUGCAAACACACAUGCUUAGGAUGGUGUGGUGUGAAGUUGUUCUGUGUGAUGGAGAAUUAGCACUUUUGACUAAGACUAUCAAACCAUCAAAUAAAUAAGAAAGAGGAAUCAUUAAAUGUAUAGAACUACAAUAUAAAAACCAAUCCGAUUUUUUAAAAAUUAUUUGAGCAAAAGUAAGAAAAAUAUACUGUCCGCAAAGUACUGUUUUAGCUCAUUUCUGAUACUAUAGCAAAACACCAGAGGCUAGAUAACUUAUAAGAAGAGAGGUUUAUUUUGACUUUGGAGGAUGAAAAUCUAAGCAGCAUGCCCCCAGCUGGCAAGGAUUUCUGGCUUCAUUACCUCAUGAUAUCAUAGCAUGACAUCAUAGCAGGUUUUUGGACAAGACGGAGAUACCAGAUAGCAAGACAGAAAGACUAGGAAGAGAUCAGACAUAUCCAUGGUCUCACAAGGUCAACUUCCCACUAGGUCUCACCUUUUCAGAGGUGCUGCAAUGGAGAGUGAGCUUCCAACAGACACCAGAAUUCUUUGGGGACAAGCCAUGUGGGAAUCAGAGCCGCUGUGAACAUGUGAAGCCUGUGGGGUAAUGGGUUGCUUUGAAAGGUGAUGACUUUCAAUCCAAGGGAAGAAAAACUGCCAUGUCUUCCGUGACCCCCAUGAUAGACUAUGGAAUUACAGUUUCUUCACUUCACCCUUCCUAACCUAGUCACUCACAGAUGUGAUGAGACACUGGGUCACCUUCCUUCCGGGAUAAGUACAUUUUAAUCUCUAGCUUUUCCUGCAUCCACUGCAGUUGGCUUUCUGUCCCACUUUAAACCUGUUGUCUUGUUUCUGCCACCUGGUCUACGGUGCCACUGCUUUGUUCUUCUUUUUAAAAAAUUAUAAUAGGAUUUUGUGGGGUUUUUUCUAAUCCCCAAAAUAAUGCAAGACAGAAUUGGACAAGGCUGUGUCAAACACUAUUGCUUCAAUGUCCUGGGUGCUGAUGCUGCCAGAGUGAAGAAUAACCAUCUGACUCUUCAUGAAAAGGCACCUGCUGUAUAAGCCCAUUGACCUGAGUGAGUUCAAGACCAUGAGCAGGAGGAAGGAAGGAGCCAGUUUCAGAAGAUUGUGCUUAAAUCUUUAUAAAGCAUUGCAUGGACACAGAGACCAUCCCCAACAACAACAACAAAUAAUAAUAAUAAUAAUAAUAAUAAUAAUAAUAAUAAUAAUAUAAGGAGAGAGAAUAAAGGAAGAAAAAGGAUUGCUCUUCCAGGGGGAUAGAAGAGAUAACUCAGCCCAAGUAUGAGGACUGGAGUUUAGAUCUCUCGAGCCUUGUAUCUGCCUGGCAGGGUGGAUGCCUGGAUGCCUGACCUCAGUCCUUGGCAUCCCAGAGUAAGCUUACUAGUUAGACUAGUUAAAUAUGUGACACUCUGCAUCAGUACAUAAGGUGGACGCGAUGGAGGAUGAAACUCAUGUCAACCCCUGGCCUCUACACAAAUGUACACAUGAUUGAAGGCUGACAGUCUAAACACCAUGACCCCAGCUGGCAAGGGUCUUCUUGGCUGCAUCACAUUGCACAUACAGAUACACACACACACACACACACACACACGCAUAACAUACUCGCACAUGCAUGUUACAUUUUUUUUAAUUAAGAAUCGCUCUCAGAACCUGGUAGGGGAGAAGGGGGUCCCGUGGAAGUGGGCUGUGAUUGGCAGGUAGAUCAGCCCACCAGUGUUUCAAACACCAAGGAUGCAGCAGCUUCUCCUUACGUUUGUUUUUGCUUUGCCUUUUUUUUUUUUCACAUUCACUCUUAUGAGGAAAAUAUAUGAAAAACAAGAGUCAAGAGAUUGGUGAUUUUUGUUGAAUAUAAAAUAAACAGAUAAGCCCUUUCUGGUUUGUAGAAAUUGCUACCUCCCCCUUCUACCACUGGCAAAUGUUAGAAAAUCUUUGAACUUAAAGAAACUCCAUGAGGGGCUGAUAGAAGUGGCCACUUAAAGCACCAGCCGCUGCCUUCUACAGCGCAAGCUGAAUGUGAGGGUCUGACUGGCCCUGGCCACUUUGGGACUAGGAGGGUUUCCAAUGCCUUGCACUUGUGAUAAGAACUAAUUGACUCAACCACCCACAGAAAAGGAGCUUUUGCUCUGAGAAUGCCUGAGGGAUGCAUGCUGACUUUUGAAGGAUGAACCAGAAUGUAUAUUAUUUGAUGCCAUAUGCAAAUAAUUAAGAAGAGACCUCCUAGUAAACAUGAUUUCUCAGUAAAAUAAGUCUAGGCAGUAAUAAUUUUAAAAGCAUGCACCCUGAAAGACUUCACAUGGCUAAUCCCUCACGAAUUCUUACUGUUGUUUGGAAGACAACUUAAAUUCAGAAUUUUACUGAGCAAACUGCCUUUCCAUCCCAGUUACUGAGAGGAGAAUGGUUUUCCUCUUAGCCAGCGUGAGAGAGGAGAAACAUGGAGACUGUGUCCUAUGAAAAACCAGCAGGACCAGAGACUGAGGUCAGGUGACAGUGAAGGCUGGGUGCAUGACCGUGUGACUUCUGGUGGCACUUGGAAGACGGUUCAGAAUUUCAGAACUAGGUGAGCAUGUGAGUCUUAUGGUCCAGGUUUGGUCUCCCUUGUUAUUACAGUUUCCUACACUGCAUUAACUCACACAAUUCUGAAGUUUUAUAAUCUGGGGCAGCUUUGGUGCUAUAUUAAAAUUCAGUGGGAGAACUACUGGCUAAUCUUCUUAGGAUGUUCAGCUGCUCCAUGCUAGAAGGAUACACAGAGAUUGAUGUCUUCCAAGUGUGGUUCAAACAUCCAAAGCACUGAGAUUAGCACCAUGUGAAGAAACUUUAAAAUAUUGUACUGCAAUUAAUUUUAAAUAACUUAGCACUGCAUAUGUCAAGGGUGGGGGGAAGCCAUAAUAGACUCCAAAUGGAACUCCCCAAAGUAGAAUGAAUUGCCCAAAUCAUUUACAUCAUUUAUCAUAAGGACAUAGAAGCCCAAAAUAUGACUGUUUUCAUUUGAAGAUGAGUGAACUUUGAGAGACUUCUAUUCCACCUGUGGUGAUACAGAGGCGUUCGAUGGAGGGACAUCCAUAUAUUGUACAUUUUUAUUAUAGGCCCCAACGUCAAGGAGAAAACUUUCUGUUAAUGUAGAAAUGGAGAUCAUGUUGUUUUGCAGAUAUGUGUUAAAGAAAUUCUGAAAUAUUUUUUAAAAGAGUUAGUGAUAUAGUUCAGUGGUACAGUGAUGGUCUGCCUUGCAUAAGGCCCUCCAUUCCAUUUCUUACACAGUUUAAAAAGCUACUAUUGUCAGGGUAGAAAGAUGGCUCAGCAGUUGUGAGCACAUGCCGCUAUUGCAAAGCAGCUGGGUUCAGUUCCCAGCACCCACAUGGUGGCUAACAAGGGAUCCAACAACCUCUUCUGACCUCCACAGGCACCAGGCAUGAAAGUGCUACAUAGACACACAUAUAUGCAAGACCCUUAUACCAAUAAAAUGAAUGAAUCAAAUUUUCCCUUUUAAAAAAGCAGUGUUGUCUUAAAGUCUAAGCUACAACUCUACUAAGUUAUUUAGUAGCUUUCAAAGCAUAAUAAUUUUUAUCUGGAUGACAUAAUGGGUCAAGAUAUAAGGAGAAAGCUUUCAUUGUUUGUAUGCUUGUGUGGUGAAGGGUUAGCCAAAUGACUGAAGAUAAAAACUCUUGCAACUCUUGGGCCAUUUGUGGUCAUUGAUAAGGUAGAGAAGAGAAGAGAUGGUCUUUGACUUUCAAGGAGAACUGCACUUGUGUUAUUGCUAGUUGUGCUUAACGACGAUCAACAGUGAGUAAGUACCUUGGAAUCCCUUCUGUGCCUUGACUGCGGCCAAACCAACAAAGCAGUUACUAGGAAUCUGCUUCAGGUACUGAACCUGAGAGCUGGAAAACCUUCAGAGGCCAGAGGACUUCCCUUGCUUUUAGCUUUUCCAGCUUGGAAAGGUGAGAGUUUACAUGUCUAAGAGGGAAAAAUGGUUGAGUUAGGACCAUAAAGUAGGCCUCUGAGUCCUAGAAGGUCUGCCCUUACCACACAAAACAUCCGCAUUGCCGUAACCCAGUCCUCCCAGUACCAGACCAUCUACCCAAAGCAACCAUGGCAUCCUCCAGGAUAGGACCAGUUGUAUUCCGUAGCCCAGAACACUAUAUGUUUUUGUCUUCUAAUUUCAUUUCUCUCUCAGUGGUACCGUAGUCCCUGUGUGUUCACGCACUGUAGUAUCUGCUGCAGAAAAGAAAGAACAUAGAAAUAGGCAGAGUUGAUACCAUUUGAAAAGUGGCUCCACACAGUGAACACUUAGAGAUUGGUCACUCCCAUAACCAGCAAGGCACGUUAUGUCACAGACAAACCUCCAUAGUCGUGAGAGUCACCUGUUAGGAGGAAGGAAAGGGGGCGAAGGCCUUCCCAACCCCACACAGCCACAAGAGAAACCAGGAAGGGCUGGAAUCCAUAUUUCCUUGUACAAAACUCUCUGCCAAAACUGCCAUUUCUAUGAAAGAGAAAUGAAUGAACCAAUCAAUCAGAUCGAUGAAUACUCUCCAUUUUCUACCACCCAUGAAAUUGUUGUUGUUAGACACAGUCUGGUUUUUUUUAAACAUUAUUUUAAUAGUUUACACCAUUUGCAUCAAUGCCAAUUUUGCGGUGAACACCCAGCUUUUCACCUGUGUUAACUUUGCCUAACACUCUCUUUGUUUUAUUAGAAAUGGUCACCUCAGUCAGCCCUUGCUACUAACAGUCAGGAUCCAGACCCCUGUAACUAAGGUUACCAAGGUACAUUUAGUUGCACUGAGGCCACUGUCAGUAAGGAAGUACACACAGCUGUGACAGUGUGCAGUCGAUUCUUUUCCUUAAGCAGCAGGAGAUGGGAUCCCAUUGGGAGAUGUUACAGAAUCCCCUGCACUGUUAUUGCCCUGACUGACUCAGCUCAUUUGCGGGUCAGUGCCUUACCUGUCCUCAUUGUCUGCCCCACAGUAUAGAAAGUGGAAGCUGCAUAGUAGGUGCUGAAUUCAUGAAUGGGUGGAUUGAGUGACCAGGCCCAAAGACAAAAGACACGGGGCCAGUGUCAUUUCAGGAAAAAUGGUACACUCACAUUCCUCCUUCAGCUGAGAGCAGUGGCGUGAACAUGGCUACUCUGAAGAAUCUUUGGCUUGCCCAUCUCCCUGGUCCCAUCUCUCAGCAGUAUGGGAACUCCUGCAUCUAGGGAGAUGGAACCUUCGUGCUUACCCUGUCUGCAUAACCAGCCGCUCUCUCAUUAAGUGCCUAUGCUUUUCAGACAAACUGUUGCUCCUCCCUUCUCCCUCACAGCUUGUCAUAGACUUAUUUUCUGAUCUGGAUGUGUCAGGGCCACAGUGACUUGAGAUUAGUUGUCUCAUCCCUGCCCGCCAUGCUUUCUGCUUGACUGAAUUCAUUACUCCUUAGCUCUCCUUUCCCCAUUCUUCCUUGAUAGGAGAGAAAAAUGCCACAGUCACCCUCCAUCCUUGGUCUCCCCAAAUUCCUAGGGAUCCCCACCCUGGGGGCAGGACCCUCCUCUUCAAACCUUAACUGGACUUUUAGACAGUUGUCAUUAUCUUUGUCUAAAGGUCAUAGCUAAAUUGAAUAAGAGGAAAGCUGUGUUUUCCAGCCGAUGCACAAAGGCAGUAUUGACUUCCCUAAUCCAGUUUGCUGAGGGGUGAGAGAAUUAAAUUAGAUAUCUAAGCACAGAAAUUGAGAGCCUUUGAAAACAAAGAUAAGGAGACAAGACUGUAUUUUCCCUCUUCCUGGGAGCUCUGUGCUCAAGAUUUUGCAGGUGUGCCAUCUGAUCCAUGGCUCGCAUCGAUCAAAACUGUGCCAAUGCAUAUUUAAUCAGCGAGGGGACCUGGGUGCAUUAUAGCCAUCAUCCCUAUAUUGAAUGGACUGUCAGACUUUUCUGUAUGCUCCACCCCUACUCUCCACCCCCACUCGCCUCUCCCCCUGCCCCUCCCCUCCCUUGUUUGGGAAGCCUGUGCAUUUUCUGAGCGGCUAAAAAGUUUCUUUGUUUUUAGCUGCUGAUGCAUACAUUGCCACUGACGGGAAUACAAACAAGUGGAGCCCUGACGUGUUUAUUUUGUCUACCAGGACAAGCUAGCUACACCAGGCCGGUCCCUGCACAAAGGGUUCCAAAGCUUGAAAA